AGGGUAAAACUUUAAGUCCGACCUGAGGCCUGCAGAUAGGGGCAUGGAGCGAGAGGUUGAAUCUGUCCCAACUAGCAAUGAUUUCAUCAAUCAUGCCAAUAUAGUGAAGUCUCCAUAAAAACCCAAAAGGAUGAGGUUUGGAGAGCUUCAAGGUUGUGAACCCAUGGAGGUGCUGGAGUGAUGUGCCUGCAGAGGUUAUCCGGAGCUCUGUGGCCUUUCCCUAUACUUUACCCAUGGCAUCUCUUCUAUCUAGAUUUUCUGAGUUAUAUCCUCUUAUAAUAAGCCAGUAAUCUAAUUUUUGAAAAUACUGUUUUCUCUAACUUUGAAACUUUAGAAUUUCUACAUGCUUGUCUUCAGUACUAUUUUCUCCAUCAGUGGUCACAGUCAAGCUCUCUCAAAGUACCUCAUUGGCAGACUCAGUCUGAAGGUAAAUGUGGAUAAAUUACCAAGUCACAGAUGAUAAAUGCAAGAAAACUCUUGGGAGGUACUUUUACUUCCCCAAAGAUUUUGGGUGCCCAGAGAACCCAGAUUAUAAGUGGCUGACUGGAGUCUUACAGCUGGAAGACAUGUUCAAACCAAGUGACUGAUUUUAUUUGUCACUGAAUGUCUGAUUUCAUCAAAGUUUCUACUCUGUCCAGACAAGCAGGAGAAUAAAGUAUUCGGUCACAGACAA